AAACCUCAGAGUUCAUCAGUCACCAGGGAAGAAGCUUAAAUCCCAGUUUUCUUCAGGAUGUGACCUUUCUAUAGACACAGUCCAACACCAAAAUUUAGUGUUAAUGAGCUGCUAGACAACAUUUUCUCAAAUGAG